UGUGUGUCUGUGAGUGUGUGUGUGUGUGUGUGUCUGAGAGUGUAUGUGUGUGCACGUAUAUAUAUAUAUACACACACACACACACACACACACACACACACA